GUUCCAAAGUCAAGAAAAGAAUAUUGUCAAAGCGCGAGUGGUAUCCAGCAGCAGCAAAGCAAAAGUCGCGGGACUACGAUAACUGAAGCUAGGUCGGCCACUGGGGCCAAGAUUGACGGAUUUGGCGCCUAGCAAUUUGGGCUGGCGAAGCAGCGGCGCUCCAAGCAGCUGAUCCGUCGCAGCACAGAGCGAGGGAGCAGAGACGCAGAAAAAAUUCAGAGAGGCUCGACCUUCGCGGGCAGCCGGAUCGACGUCGGUGAGGCGGCGGCCACAAAGCGGGACGGUCGAUAAUCCGCGAUAGCGGAAAGUUCAGCACCGGCGAAAUACGAACGGAGAAAAAGGAGGAAAAUAGCGCAAAUCCUACCUAAACGUGCCGUAUGGCAAAUACAGUUAACAAGGCCCAAUUAAGAUCCGCAGUACAUAGGGAAGGAAAGAGUUAGUGUGUUGUUUGAGUUCAAUACUCAGAGCUGCAAGGGUAAUGCCCCAAAAAAA